rnacentral:rRNA from 1 species
UACUGGGGGAGCAAGCGUUGUUCGGAUUUACUGGGCGUAAAGGGCGCGUAGGCGGUCGUGACAAGUCACUUGUGAAAUCUCCGGGCUUAACUCGGAACGGUCAAGUGAUACUGUCGGACUAGAGUACAGAAGGGGCAACUGGAAUUCUCGGUGUAGCGGUGAAAUGCGUAGAUAUCGAGAGGAACACCUGCGGCGAAGGCGGGUUGCUGGGCUGAUACUGACGCUGAGGCGCGAAAGCCAGGGGAGCGAACGGG